rnacentral:misc_RNA from 1 species
CUUGCUUUUUAACUUUUGCAUCCUACGAAUAUCCAGCCACUUUCAGUGGUAUUUUUCCAAUGAAGUUGGCGUUUAAGCUUCCAAAGUAAAGGUGAUCCUCGAACUCAAAAGCUGAAGUUACAAACGACAUCACUCUUCCAUUGGGAUCAUCAAACAUCCUGGUAAUACUUCCAUCAGCUGCCAAAUUCACCACCUUUGCUUUCCUGUAGGCUCCAUUGACUAGUUUAACCAAUUUGGGAAAUGAUGCCACUAAAUGUUUGGAUGAAAUUGAGGAGUGCAAGAAUUCCAGCUUAUCCGGAACAAACUGUAGCAAAGCAAUCCAGAAAGAACCGUCCGAAGCCAGAUUGAUGUUAUCAGGUCCGCCAGGAAGGUUCUCAACAAAAAUUUCUGUUUUACCUUUGUUCUUGCCCUUGAGCCAAUAUUUUUGGCACCUAAAUUUCCAAGUUUCACAGAAGACCAGAAAAUCUUCUUCCCUUGAGAGAGCAACACCAUUGGGGAAGCACAAACCAUCAAGCAGAAUGGAGGUCUCAUUCAAUGAGGGAUCAUACUUGAGCAAUUGCCCAUGAGGCUUGGCCUCGAGAACAUCUAGAAACCAAUCAUGGAGUCCAAAUUUGGUGCUUGCAACACUAAAAUAGAGGUUACCAUCUGAAUCUUCAAUCACCUCAUCCGCAAACCUUAUCGGGGACCCAUUAAUGUGUGAUGCAAGAACUGUAACUCCAUCUUCAGUAACCUUAAGCAAACCCAUUUCAGCAUCACAAACGACGAGACCACCUUCCUUGGAGAUUGUGAUACCAAGUAAGGCAUCGCUGUCUAUCCUCUUCCAAUUCUCCCAGGAUCCAUUCUUAUGCAAUCUUUUGAUCCAACCAUCUCUGACUGCCGUAUACAGUAGACCCUCUCUGUCUACACAAACAUCUUCUGGACCUUGUAAAAGUCCUUCUCCAAGUUUAAUCACUUCCUGUAGUCGCUUGUUUGUGGGAAGAGAAGAAGUUGGAGGCAAUUGAAGCAAGUCGGGAGAUAUCGGUGAGAAGAAGAAGAUUUGAAAUAGAAAAGCAAGGAGAAAAGCUAGCACAAAUCCUGAACAUGCCGGUACACAGCGCUGCAUGGUCCAGAGAAGGCAGCAAUAAUUGGUGAGUUUGAAGGGGUAAUGAGGGGUGGAAAACUCUCGAUGUUGAUGGUAUCUAAUCUA